AACGAACGCUGGCGGCAGGCUUAAUACAUGCAAGUCGAACGCCUGUAGCAAUACAGGAGUGGCAGACGGGUGAGUAACGCGUGGGAACGUACCCUUCGGUUCGGAAUAACUCAGGGAAACUUGAGCUAAUACCGGAUACGUCCGCAAGGAGAAAGAUUUAUUGCCGAAGGAUCGGCCCGCGUCCGAUUAGCUAGUUGGUGGGGUAAUGGCCCACCAAGGCGACGAUCGGUAGCUGGUCUGAGAGGAUGAUCAGCCACACUGGGACUGAGACACGGCCCAGACUCCUACGGGAGGCAGCAGUAGGGAAUAUUGGACAAUGGGCGAAAGCCUGAUCCAGCCAUGCCGCGUGGGUGAUGAAGGCCUUAGGGUUGUAAAGCCCUUUCGGCGGGGAGGAUAAUGACGGUACCUGCAGAAAAAGCCCCGGCUAACUUCGUGCCAGCCGCCGCGGUAAGAC
rnacentral:rRNA from 1 species